UUGUUGUGGACAAAAAGAUUAACCCAAUCCAUGUUAGUAAAAUGCCUAUUUACUCAACAUAACUAUGACCAGCAUUAUUCAACUUUCUAUGUGAUUUCCUAAAAUGGCCGCUAGAGAGUUUCCCCUUUAACAUCGACUAACACCCUCAUUAACAAGAUGGCGCUGGAAUCUGGGGCAGACCUCCAAGAUACCAGUGACAUCACACCCGGUAGGAAAAGCACUAAAUGAACCACUUAACACCUAACCAAUUAUUGAUGUAUUAUUCCAUGUUAUCUCUGA